GACGAACGCUGGCGGCGUGCUUAACACAUGCAAGUCGAACGGAAAGGCCCUGCUUUUGUGGGGUGCUCGAGUGGCGAACGGGUGAGUAACACGUGAGUAACCUGCCCUUGACUUUGGGAUAACUUCAGGAAACUGGGGCUAAUACCGGAUAGGAGCUCCUGCUGCAUGGUGGGGGUUGGAAAGUUUCGGCGGGUGGGGAUGGACUCGCGGCUUAUCAGCUUGUUGGUGGGGUAGUGGCUUACCAAGGCUUUGACGGGUAGCCGGCCUGUGAGGGUGACCGGCCACAUUGGGACUGAGAUACGGCCCAGACGCCUACGGGAGGCAGCAGUGGGGAAUAUUGCACAAUGGGCGGAAGCCUGAUGCAGCAACGCCGCGUGCGGGAUGACGGCCUUCGGGUUGUAAACCGCUUUCGCCUGUGACGAAGCGUGAGUGACGGUAAUGGGUAAAGAAGCACCGGCUAACUACGUG
rnacentral:rRNA from 1 species